ensembl:snRNA U1 U1 spliceosomal RNA
AUAUUUACCUGGCAGCGGUGAUACCAUGAUCACAAAUGUGGUUUUCCCAGGGCGAGGCUGAUCCAUUGCACUCCGGAUGUGCUGACCCCUGCGAUUUCCCCAAAUGUGGGAAACUCGACUGCAUAAUUUGUGGUAGUGGGGGACUGCGUUCUCGCUUUCCCCUG